GGUGACAUCUUCAGCUUCAACGCAGCGUGAGCCCUGCCAUGUUGGAACUGUUCUUCGAGCCUCAGCCUUUUCGAUUAAAGCCGCUUCAUGAAUAACGAAGGAUAAAUAAAGUCAAUGUCGCCCUUUUCUCAGAGGGAGAAUGGAGUCCAUCCAGAGAGAAGCUGGUUGGAGCUGGGCCUUUGCUGAUUUCCUCCUUGAAUGGUGAAGGAUGUUGCCAAGUCAUCCAUCUCACCCUGCAGGUCUUGUAAUGUUGCAAAGGCAAGCAGAAGGAGAGUUCACGCCAAUGUGGGAAACUUGCCAAAUGGGCAGAAAAGACGUACAAAAGUUUCAUCCAUGUCAUCAAGAAGAAAACAUCAUUGUACUGAAGGCACUGCUGAAGCCACCUCUGGGUCCAGGCAGCAAUGAGCAGGAGGCCCUUGCCCUUCAGCUCUUCAUGCAAGUGGAAGAAUCUCCAGGAAGUCCACCCACCUGUUGCGCCAUGGUCCAUUCUGGGGCACUCACUCAGGACAACUCAUGUAGAAAAGGAGCUUACUUGGGUUAAUUCUAUCAGAACAUAAAUGCUCUGUCCUCUUGGAUAGAAAUGGCUGUACUGGGGACCUUGGUGGCUCACUUCAACAACUGUACUCAUCAAGCUCUAGGAACUCAAAGGAGGCUAAAGCUCAAAACAAGUCUGAAGUGGGUUUGCUGUUUUGGAGGCAUUUGUGCUGCAGUAGAUGCAAACUAUUAUAUUUAGAAUGGAUAAGCAAGGGGGUCCUACUAUAAAGCACAGGGAACUAGAGCCAGUCUCUUGGGAGAGACCAUGAUGAAAGACAGUAUGAGAAAAAGAAUGUGUAUAUGUAUGUAUGACUGAGUCAAUUUGCUGUACAGCAGAAAUUGCCACAACACUGUAAAUCAACUAUACUUUAAUUUAAAAGAAAGAAAAAGGAUUUCCUGUUGUGACUCAGAGUUAGCGAACCCGACUAGUAUCCAUGAGGAUGUGGGUUCGAUCCCUGACUUUGCUCGUGGGUUAUGGAUCCAGUGUUGCCAUGAGCUGCCAUGUAGGUCACAGAAACCACUCAGUUCUGGCAUGGCUGUGGCUGUGGUGUAGGCUGUCAGCUGCAGCUCCAAUUCAACCUCUAGCCUGGGAACUUCCGUAUGCUGCAGGUGUGGCCCUGAAAA
ensembl:lncRNA